rnacentral:snRNA from 1 species
AGCUUGGUGCAGUGGCAGUAUCAUAGCCGAUGCGGUUUAUCCGAGGCGCGAUUAUUGCUAAUUGAAAACUCAUCCCCCCGACGCUUUCCCAUGCCUUCUCUCCUCACCCACCCUUUUCAGUACGAAACUGGUAGAAACUGACAGCUCAG